UAGGGAAUAUUGCGCAAUGGAGGAAACUCUGACGCAGCGACGCCGCGUGGGUGACGAAGGUCUUCGGAUCGUAAAGCCCUGUCGGAAGGGAAGAAAAACGGUAUGGCUAAUAUCUUUACCGCUUGACGGUACCUUUAAAGGAAGCACCGGCUAACUACGUGCCAGCAGCCGCGGUAAUACGUAGGGUGCUAGCGUUGUUCGGAAUCAUUGGGCGUAAAGCGCGUGUAGGCUGUUAAUUAAGUCGGGUGUGAAAUCCCUGGGCUCAACCGAGGAAGUGCAUCCGAAACUAAUUAGCUAGAAGAUGGUAGAGGAAGGUGGAAUUCCAAGUGUAGAGGUGAAAUUCGUAGAUAUUUGGAGGAAUACCGGUGGCGAAGGCGGCCUUCUGGGCCAUUCUUGACGCUGAGACGCGAAAGCGUGGGUAGCAAACAGGAUUAGAUACCCGUGUAGUCC
rnacentral:rRNA from 1 species